GACGAACGCUGGCGGCGUGCCUAAUACAUGCAAGUGGGACGCAAGGGAACACACUGUGCUUGCACAUCGUGUUUUCUUGAGUCGCGAACGGGUGAGUAACGCGUAGGUAACCUGCCUAUUAGCGGGGGAUAACUAUUGGAAACGAUAGCUAAUACCGCAUAAUAUUAAUUAUUGCAUGAUAAUUGAUUGAAAGAUGCAAGCGCAUCACUAGUAGAUGGACCUGCGUUGUAUUAGCUAGUUGGUAAGGUAAGAGCUUACCAAGGCGACGAUACAUAGCCGACCUGAGAGGGUGAUCGGCCACACUGGGACUGAGACACGGCCCAGACUCCUACGGGAGGCAGCAGUAGGGAAUCUUCGGCAAUGGACGAAAGUCUGACCGAGCAACGCCGCGUGAGUGAAGAAGGUUUUCGGAUCGUAAAGCUCUGUUGUAAGUCAAGAACGU
rnacentral:rRNA from 1 species